AGGCCACCAAGAUAUUUAACAACAAGACCGUGACAAUUGUUGUGCGGGACUGUGUGCAAGCCAUUUGGGGAGAGGAAGCUCUAGCCUGCAAGACUGUUAGUGGUUGUUCUGUGCCCGUGGAAGAGACGAAGCAGCUUACUCCACAAAAAGUGCACGAUGUGAACGGAGAUGCUGUUAUGUCUGUGAUGCAUAAUAUGGCAGCCCAUUACUAGGAUAACCCUUGCAAGCUGAUUACACAGGCAAGAGGGCUACUACCGGAAGAAAGAGACUGCAAGAAGAUUAAUCUGAGAUAGGCUGCGCAGAUGUUCUUGGUGUUUUUUAACACUUUCGGAUUGAUGUCAUCUGCUCCAGAUGAAG